CGCAGUUUUCAUGCUUUGGUAGAUCUCUUCCUGAAACCGUGUGUGAGCUGUGAGCAAUUGCUGUAGAGCAUCAACUGUGAGCACGAGAGGAGCAGCCUCAGUCGGGUUGUUGUUGUUUGAAACUCCGGUUGGUUUUUGUUAUUUUGAUCACUACGAGAGAAAUAGACGAAUCAAAGAUGGCGAGCCCAGCCCAGAGUGAUGGUGGAUGGUCGUGAGAACGGUGUGGCCAGCCGUGGGACCAGCCACCGAAGACGUCGGACUAGUUUCGUUCAGACAGGAUACAGAUAAGAAUACACUUACGCUAUUAACUCUACCCGGGUAGUAGUACUGGACUUAAUAUACACACACACAAAAGGACCAGGAACUAAACUCUGAACUCAAUUUCAUACUCCUCGACUUAAAGGAGCAGUGAGCUGAAGUGUCAGCUCACAGGGACAUUUUCCUUUCCUUUUAUUAUUGAAAGAGCUCUAUUUUUGUUUUAUUUUAUUUUCAUUCUUGGUACAUUAUAGUACUGUGUUCAUUGUUGUGUCCCUUAAUGUAAUAAAACUGUCAACUGUUCAACUCAUUACUAACUCUUUUGUGAGUCACUCAAGGCAGACCACACCCCGGACCUAGAUAGAUGUUAGUUGCCCUGUUCUGGUAUUGGUUAGCACUAGGGGGCGCUACACAAACUUGGCGAGCCAGCCAGGAGUGGUUUUGAGUCCUUAUUUAGUGAAAGUUGAGCAGUUUGGCACUUCUAUUGCAUUUCAUCUUUGAACACUGGAAAUUUGCCUGAAUUUAUCUUGCUGUCAAAGGGUAAAUAUGGAUAUAAUUCAAUC